UACGAAGGGGGCUAGCGUUGCUCGGAAUCACUGGGCGUAAAGGGUGCGUAGGCGGGUCUUUAAGUCAGGGGUGAAAUCCUGGAGCUCAACUCCAGAACUGCCUUUGAUACUGGCGAUCUCGAGUCCGGGAGAGGUGAGUGGAACUGCGAGUGUAGAGGUGAAAUUCGUAGAUAUUCGCAAGAACACCAGUGGCGAAGGCGGCUCACUGGCCCGGUACUGACGCUGAGGCACGAAAGCGUGGGGAGCAAACAGG
rnacentral:rRNA from 1 species